UACGAAGGGGGCUAGCGUUGCUCGGAAUUACUGGGCGUAAAGCGCACGUAGGCGGCUUUUUAAGUCGGGGGUGAAAUCCUGGAGCUCAACUCCAGAACUGCCUUCGAUACUGGAAAGCUCGAGUCCGGGAGAGGUGAGUGGAACUGCGAGUGUAGAGGUGAAAUUCGUAGAUAUUCGACAAGAACACCAGUGGCGAAGGCGGCUCACUGGCCCGGUACUGACGCUGAGGUGCGAAAGCGUGGGGAGCAAACAGG
rnacentral:rRNA from 1 species